rnacentral:misc_RNA from 1 species
AAAGAAUUGAGGUUCACUACAUGUUUAAAAUGUACUAAGAUUUAACCUAAAAAAAAAUGCAAACCAUAUACAGUUGCAAGGUAAUGGGUAUUUACAACAUGGUUGAACUCUACCCAAAUGAAAGCAAAGGAAUAAAGAAUGGCUGGGGAACUGCAAACGUAAACUCAAUCGUGCUUUCUCCUCAUCGUUCUAUGUAAAUGCCACGACCAUGCAGCCAACGACAUCAAAAGGCCAGUACCGAUACAUGACCAUAAAAUUACCACCCAUUUGGGCAUUGGGUUUGGAAAUGAUCCAUGUCCAAACUUGAUACAGAUUAGGAGCUCAACAAUGCAGAUCGCCACUGAAAGCCAGCAAAAUGCUCCUACCUUCUUCGCUGGUUUUCUGUCCUGUAGAUACGAGUUAU